UGGAGGAAAGUAGGGGAUCGUAAGACCUUGCGCUUUUGGAGUGGCCGAUGCCUGAUUAGCUAGUUGGUGGGGUAAGGGCCUACCAAGGCAACGAUCAGUAGUUGGUCUGAGAGGACGACCAGCCACACUGGGACUGAGACACGGCCCAGACUCCUACGGGAGGCAGCAGUGGGGAAUUUUGGACAAUGGGCGAGAGCCUGAUCCAGCAAUGCCGCGUGAGUGAAGAAGGCCUUCGGGUUGUAAAGCUCUUUCAGUCGAGAAGAAAGGGUUGUGACUAAUAAUCACAACUUAUGACGGUACCGACAGAAGAAGCACCGGCUAACUACGUGCCAGCAGCCGCGGUAAUACGUAGGGUGCGAGCGUUAAUCGGAAUUACUGGGCGUAAAGGGUGCGCAGGCGGCUUUGUAAGUCAGAUGUGA
rnacentral:rRNA from 1 species